rnacentral:lncRNA from 1 species
CGCGGACUUUUUUAUAAACAACUCUAUAGAAUUUUAAAAUUUGCAAAAUAACUCCCUCAAAAUUAUAUUUGUAAAACUAACCUUCCUUUCGCCACGUAGGCUGGAAGCGGAUAUUUCUUAUGAAAGCGGUGAAUCGUUCACCGCCUUGCCGCUUUCCUAAUUUUUCACAAAGACGGUGAAUUUCGGAUAUUUCUUAUGAAAGCGGUGAGUUGUUCACUGCCUUGCCGCUUUCCUAAUUUUUCACAAAGGCGGUAAAUAAAAUUCACCGCCUUUUGCUUAUUUAUUGUUUCUAUUAUAUAGAUAUAUAAUCUUAACAACCACAUAAAAAUUUUAACAAAUCACAUAUAAUCUUAACAACCUGAAAAUUCUAAUAAUUUAAUUAUACAAUUUCAUAUAAUCUUAAUAGUAUGAAAAUCCUAAUAGUCUAUCCAUAUACAAUUUCAUAUAAUCUUAACAGUCUGAAAAUCAUAAGAAUCUAUCCAUAUAAUUUUAUAUAAUCUUAACAGUCUGAAAAUUCUAAUAAUCUAUCAAUACAAUCCUAACAAUCAAAUAAAUAUUCUAAUAAUUCACAUAUAAUCCUAACAACCUCUUUAAAAAAAAUGAGAGAAGGCGGUGAAUGAUUAACCGCUUUUCGAAAAAAAUCCCACAUGGCGAAAAGAGGGUUAGAUUGCCAAAUAUAAAUUUGGCAGAAUUAUUUCACAAAUUAUAAAAAUGUUAGAGGGUUGUUUUAUAAAAAAGUCCGCACAUAUUCAGUCAAUAAAUAACUAGAACAAAUCAUUCAUCUGCAAGAUAACGCAGCUCGCAACGGAAAAAAGGAAAACACUCGAUCAAUGAUAAAUAAAACAGAUCCUUCAUUUGUAAGAUAACCCAGUCCAAUUCAGCAUGCACCCAAAUCUUAUACAACAUCCCCAAAUAUAUGUUGAUACCAAAAUUGAGCCGACCUAACCCACGUAUGAACCAAUAAGGACACGUGGUACAUCAGGAGUCGGAAAUAAGGCGCCUGAAGGACAAAAAGGCGGGAACGGUUGAAGAUUGGGGCGUAACUUCCAUGAGGAGUUAGUAUAACUUCCACGAUCAUGGUUACAACCACUCCCCCCAACUACUUUCAACCAAUUAAUAAUGUGGGCUAUAAAUAGUAACUUUGAAGCCUGCAAUAGAGGUCUUUGCCCCUGCACACAAAAGACCACCCUUAUUUCCUCUGCAUUUUAUCGCUUUCCUAGGAGUAGUCUAAAUGUAAUCUUUUUCUUUUCCGCAUUUA